UUACGGCCACAUCAUGUUGAAACACCGGUUCGUGUAUGAUCACCGAAGUUAAGCAGCGUCGUGCCAGGUCAGUUCUUAGAUGAGUGACCGAUUGUGAAUAACAAAU